AGUGAACGCUGGCGGUAGGCCUAACACAUGCAAGUCGAACGGCAGCACAGUAGGAGCUUGCUCUUACGGGUGGCGAGUGGCGGACGGGUGAGGAAUACAUCGGAAUCUACUUUUUCGUGGGGGAUAACGUAGGGAAACUUACGCUAAUACCGCAUACGACCUACGGGUGAAAGCAGGGGAUCUUCGGACCUUGCGCGAUUGAAUGAGCCGAUGUCGGAUUAGCUAGUUGGCGGGGUAAAGGCCCACCAAGGCGACGAUCCGUAGCUGGUCUGAGAGGAUGAUCAGCCACACUGGAACUGAGACACGGUCCAGACUCCUACGGGAGGCAGCAGUGGGGAAUAUUGGACAAUGGGCGCAAGCCUGAUCCAGCCAUACCGCGUGGGUGAAGAAGGCCUUCGGGUUGUAAAGCCCUUUUGUUGGGAAAGAAAAGCAGCAGGUUAAUACCCCGCUGUUCUGACGGUACCCAGAGAAUAAGCACCGGCUAACUUCGUG
rnacentral:rRNA from 1 species